rnacentral:rRNA from 1 species
CAGCCGUAAACUAUGCGCGUUAGGUGUACUGGUGACCACGAGUCACCGGGGUGCCGAAGGGAAACCGUGAAACGUGCCGCCUGGGAAGUACGGUCGCAAGGCUGAAACUUAAGGAAUUGGCGGGGGAGGCACCACAACGGGUGGAGCCUGCGGUUUAAUUGGACUCAACGCCGGAAAUCUCACCGGAUAGGACAGACAUAUGAUAGUCGGGCUGAAGACUCUACUUGAUGAUCUGAGAGGAGGUGCAUGGCGUCAGU